rnacentral:rRNA from 1 species
GACGAACGCUGGCGGCGUGCCUAAUACAUGCAAGUAGAACGCACAGUUUAUACCGUAGCUUGCUACACCAUAGACUGUGAGUUGCGAACGGGUGAGUAACGCGUAGGUAACCUGCCUGGUAGCGGGGGAUAACUAUUGGAAACGAUAGCUAAUACCGCAUAAUAUUAAUUAUUGCAUGAUAAUUAAUUGAAAGGUGCAAUUGCACCACUACCAGAUGGACCUGCGUUGUAUUAGCUAGUAGGUGAGGUAACGGCUCACCUAGGCGACGAUACAUAGCCGACCUGAGAGGGUGAUCGGCCACACUGGGACUGAGACACGGCCCAGACUCCUACGGGAGGCAGCAGUAGGGAAUCUUCGGCAAUGGACGAAAGUCUGACCGAGCAACGCCGCGUGAGUGAAGAAGGUUUUCGGAUCGUAAAGCUCUGUUGUAAGAGAAGAACGGGUGUGAGAGUGGAAAGUUAACACUGUGACGGUAUCUUACCAGAAAGGGACGGCUAACUACGUG